AGAUAUGGACUCCAUAAAGUUCUGCUACCUGUAACACUUCUUAUUAUUUUUGUCUCUGGGCCGUUACCUGUGAAUUUUAUGUAUUAAAAAAGUAGUGUAGACAGCAGGUGCAAAAAAGUGCAACAGUCUUGUGAAGCAGCAACAGCAGAAACAGCAGAAGCCAUAGCAGAACUGUGGCUAUAUUUUUCUUUUCCUUGGUACUAAUAUGGCUGCUUACCCAGCAUUGCUCAUUGGGAACUAUUGUUGGGUUAUUUCAGAAUGCCUAAAGACAGAACUGCAGAGAUUUCUAAACUAAAGCUGUGCUUUAAAGCCCUGUUGUGCAAGCCUCUGUAUGAGCAAGUGACGAAACAACAGAUGCCACCUCAGAGGACUCACAACACAGGAUUUUGAAAGCAUGGAGCAUGUGAGCAGGAUCUGCUGUUAAAGUCAUCUCUUCAGUGAGAAAGGAGGCAAGGACAAACAGCAGAUCAAUGAGAUUCAACUGGGGCACAAUCAAACUUCAAAUAUUUUCUGUUUUUUUGAAGGUUAGUAUUUUCACUUGGCUGAAUAGCACAAACUUUGGAUAGAUUCAGUAUGUUUUGAUUUGGAUUAUUUGUUUUAUUUCCCCAGAAAAUAUUUAGCUAGCAUACUCUUUCAAGUGUGCUGCAAGUGGGUGCGAUUUUCUGUCCUACUGAUCAUGCUUCUCCUAGAAGUCAAAAGUACAGGGAGUUCCCAGACUUCAUUUUUAUAAUGUAAAAGCUCAUCAUGAUGAAAUAUACACUUGUGCACAUUUAUGGGGCUGAGAUAGUUAAAAAAGCACAUUGAAUAUUUCUGUCUGAUCUUUGUUUAAGUAAAAAGACCUAACGGAAACUGGAGAUAUCAGAUAUCCCAAGUUAGGUGUUCACAUGUAACAUUUAUAUAGAAUUUUUAUAGCUUGGAAAGUGCCUUAAAGACCAUCUAUUUCCAGAUAGAGAAAAGGUGUCAAACCCCCAUUCUCUGGACAUAAGACAAGACACUCUGUGGAGUUGGUAUGCAUCUCCUAAAUCACAGUACAAACUGUGUGAACAAGAUAACACCCUGGAAACCCUGGCAGUCAAUUUAUGUGCUGUGACUUAGGCAACUAGUGGCAUUUGGGAUGUUCUGGGCUACCCCACCUGAUCUCAAGCAUCCAUUCCAGAAAGGUGGAGAUCUUCCAUGUACCUAUGCUAGGCAGAUGAUUUCAGUAUCAUAAAUUAUGAUAAUUCCUGCACUUCAACACCUGAAUUGUGUCUUGUUGCUUGUAAUGACUCUGUCUUCAUUUGCUGAAUUUAUAAAUACCUAGCAUACAGGUAGACACUUGUCUGUAGUGUGGAUACAUAACAGACACCUGGAAGCAGUUAGCUGAAUCCAAAGACACACUAGGAGAUAAGCAGUUUAUCAUUGCAAAAGAGCCUCCACUUGAGAGAAAAGAACAACCAUUUUCUUGCUGAACAGUUAAACAAAAAUUCAAAUUAAGUAAUAACAGAGAAUUCAAAUAUAUAUCAGUUUAAUGCAAAAGAGAGAUAGACUUGGGUAAUACAGUAUUAUCACAGCAUCAGUGUUAACCUGAGACACUUACAAUUAAACCAGAACCUGAACUCCUACACCUAGUCUAGAGACAAUAAAAAAAA